GGCUCAGUAGCAUAAUGGUUAUGCAUCCACUAAUAGUACUAGUCAAGGGCUUGUAACGUGGGGUACGCCUGUUCGAAUCAGGCCUGAGCCA